rnacentral:rRNA from 1 species
UACGAGGGGGGCAAGCGUUGUUCGGAAUUAUUGGGCGUAAAGGGUGCGUAGGCGGUUUGACAAGUCUCAUGUGAUAUCUUCGGGCUCAACCCGAAGUCUGCAUGGGAAACUGUCGGGCUUGAGUAUGGGAGAGGUGAGUGGAAUUUCCGGUGUAGCGGUGAAAUGCGUAGAUAUCGGAAGGAACACCUGUGGCGAAAGCGGCUCACUGGACCAUAACUGACGCUGAUGCACGAAAGCUAGGGGAGCACACAGG